rnacentral:rRNA from 1 species
ACUCAAAGGAAUUGACGGGGACCCGCACAAGCAGCGGAGCGUGUGGUUUAAUUCGAUGCAACGCGAAGCACCUUACCAGGGCUUGACAUGGACGGGCACCACUCUGAGAGGGGUGUGCCCGCAAGGGACCCGUCCACAGGUGCUGCAUGGCUGUCGUCAGCUCGUGUCGUGAGAUGUUGGGUUCAGUCCCGCAACGAGCGCAACCCCUAUCGUCGGUUAUAGGUAUCCGAGGAGACUGCCAUCUGAAAAUGGAGGAAGGCGGGGAUGAUGUCAAGUCAGCACGGCCCCGACGUCCUGGGCGACACACACGCUACAAUGGUCGGGACAAUGGGUAGCCAACUCGCGAGAGGGAGCCAAUCCCAUCAAAGCCGAUCUCAGUUCAGAUUAGAGGCUGCAACCCGCCUCUAUGAAGUUGGAGUUGCUAGUAAUCGCGUGUCAGCAUAGCGCGAUGAAUGCGUUCCCGGGUCUUGUACACACCGCCCGU